GUUGACGCUGGCGGCAUGCCUAACACAUGCAAGUCGAACGAGUGGCGGACGGGUGAGUAAUGUCUGGGAAACUGCCUGAUGGAGGGGGAUAACUACUGGAAACGGUAGCUAAUACCGCAUACUAUCGGAUGAGCCUAGGUUGGAUUAGCUAGUUGGUGGGGUAAAGGCCUACCAAGGCGACGAUCCGUAGCUGGUCUGAGAGGAUGACCAGCAACACUGGAACUGGGACACGGUCCAGACUCCUACGGGAGGCAGCAGUGGGGAAUAUUGGACAAUGGGCGCAAGCCUGAUCCAGCCAUGCCGCGUGUAUGAAGAAGGCCUUCGGAUUGUAAAGUACUUUCAGUUAGGAGGCGUUACCAACAGAAGAAGCACCGGCUAACUCCGUGCCAGCAGCCGCGGUAAUAC
rnacentral:rRNA from 1 species